CUCUGGAAUGGUUUUCCUGCCGUGGUGCUCAGCCCUUCUCCGGGUUUUGCCUGGUGCCGGCGAAUCCUGAGGUUCCCGUUUCUUCCGCUGGAGGCAGAGCCGUUCUCGGGGCUGUGUGAGCGCUGGGGAUUGUUCCCGUCAUCCCGUGGGGCUCUCGGUCCCUGGGCUGUGCUCAGCAGGACUCUGCCUGGGGCUUGGAGGGGCCCCUGCUCUGGCCUCUGGAACCCCCCUCCUCUCCGGUGCCUUUCCCGGGAGAUUGGGCCCCGUGGGCUCCCCCACCUCACUCCUGUCCACUCUGGGAGCCGCUGUUCCCAAUGGAAUCCCACCAAGAGGGACACAGAUCUCAUUUGGGCAGCAGGCAGAACUGUGCAUUGUGGGCGGGGGAAAGGCACAGCCAGCUCAGCAGUAGGUCCCCCCUCCCCGCUGAGCCUCCCAUUGGCUAAAUCCCUGACUUGGGCCACAGUCCUUCCUGGGGAGGCCUGGGCCUCACCCAGCCUGCUGGGCUCAGCCUGGACAACUGAUGGCAAGGGCCUUCAAGCCAGUCUGGGGUCAGAACACCGGCUGGAGGAGGGGAGGGUGAGGGAGGGGGUUCCAGUCCUCUGUGCCCCAUCAGGGUGCGCUGGGAGCGGAGUGGGGAUGGAACCCAGGCCCAGGACGGAGGGUCCAGGUUGGAUGAGGCAGGUGGGUGGGACUGGAGGAAGAGUGGACAGUGGCUCGAGGAGAUGCUGGGGACAAGUUGCUUGCUACCAUGCAGGAAAGAUGACUUCUGGAAAUGCUGGUAUUGGCGGGGAAGAGCCUGGGCGCCGCGGGAGGGAGGCUGGAGAGCGGCGGGGUCCAGGGGGCCCUAACUGUGGGAGGUGUCCUGGUGGCUCUCGGGCAGGGAGGUGCUGCAGCCACAGCGUCCCCGGGAGGCCCCGUAGCAUCCACAGAGCUUCAUCCUUCCCUCCAGGAAUGACAUGUGCCAUGUGGUUUAGGGAGGGCACCUUGUCCAGGAACCAGGCUGGAGGCCACCAGAGCUUCCCCAGCCCCCGAGGCCAGAAGUGCCACAUGGGCUCGCUCUGCCUCGGGGUGGGUGAGCGUGGACAGUUCCCAUCCCCCCGAGAGGUCGGUGGUGACCAUUAG
rnacentral:lncRNA from 1 species